CGUAGGGUGCGAGCGUUAAUCGGAAUUACUGGGCGUAAAGCGUGCGCAGGCGGUUGUGCAAGACAGAUGUGAAAUCCCCGGGCUCAACCUGGGAACUGCAUUUGUGACUGCACAGCUUGAGUGCGGCAGAGGGGGAUGGAAUUCCGCGUGUAGCAGUGAAAUGCGUAGAUAUGCGGAGGAACACCGAUGGCGAAGGCAAUCCCCUGGGCCUGCACUGACGCUCAUGCACGAAAGCGUGGGGAGCAAACAGGAUUAGAUACCCUGGUAGUCCACGCCCUAAACGAUGUCAACUGGUUGUUGGAAGGUUCCUUCUCAGUAACGUAGCUAACGCGUGAAGUUGACCGCCUGGGGAGUACGGCCGCAAGGUUG
rnacentral:rRNA from 1 species